rnacentral:rRNA from 1 species
CGCCUGAUUUUACCCCAUCAGGUAGACUCUGCCCAAUGAAGUUUGAAUGGCCGCAGUACCCUGACUGUGCUAAGGUAGCAUAAUAAUUUGCCUCUUAAUUGGAGGCUUGUAUGAAUGAGCUGACGAAGGGGGCCCUGUCUCCUGGGGACCAAAGGAAAUUUAUAUUCAGGUAAAAAAUCCUGAGGGCUGUAGAGGGACGACAAGACCCUAAAAGCUUUACCCUCAACCCCUGAAACUUUUCUAGUCAAAUCAGGCUUGCCGGGUUUUCACUGGGGCGGUGUCUCUACUUAACUAGAGCAGUAAAAACACCUUGAGUGAAAUCAAUUACCCUUAUUUAGGUUUCAAACAAGUUACUUUAGGGAUAACAGCGUAAUUCUCUGAAAGAGCCCAUAUCGACCGGAGAGUUUACGACCUCGAUGUUGAAUUGAAGACUUGGCUAAAGCAGUAUUUAGCAAAAAGAAGACUGUUCGUCUUUUAAACCUUC